AUUGAACGCUGGCGGCAGGCCUAACACAUGCAAGUCGAGCGAGCGGCGGACGGGGGAGUAAUGUAUGGGGACUGCCCGCUAGAGGGGGAUAACUACUGGAAACGGUGGAUAAUACAGCAUACUGUCGGAUAACCCAUAUGGGAUUAGCGAGUAGGUAAGGUAAGGGCUUACCUAGGCGACGAUCCCUAGCUGGUCUGAGAGGAGGAGCAGCCACACUGGGACUGAGACACGGCCCAGACUCCUACGGAGGCAGCAGUGGGGAAUAUUGCACAAUGGGCGCAAGCCGGAUGCAGCCAUGCCGCGUGUAUGAAGAAGGCCCUAGGGUUGUAAAGUACUUUCAGUCGGGAGGCGUUACCGACAGAAGAAGCACCGGCUAACUCCGUGCCAGCAGCCGCGGUAAUAC
rnacentral:rRNA from 1 species